UCAAAUAAUUCAAAGUGUUCCCUUGCUCUAUCGUGGUUUCAUGGAUUUUUUAGUGUUUUUUUUUUUUAUUACAGAAUGAACACUUAAAGGCUGAGCCUCGCCCUCUAAGAAGAAUUGCAUUGUGGGAAGUUGAGUGUGUCUUUCCUCUCUGUCUGCACCGCCCAUUGUUUUCUGCAUCCUGAUAGGCUGUGAAUCAUUGUCAAUCAAUCUUGGUACCGCCUUGCCGUGUUUCCUGUGUCAUUGCUAGCUUGCUUGCUAGCUAGCUUGUAAGUGAAUCUUCGAGGAAGACUGCAACAGCAGUGGAAUACACACGAGUGACUUAAUAAUUUCUUGUGUCCGACCUUCAGUGUACAGGCGUCCCAAAACAAGAACAAUCGUGUCUGCUGUGUGGAACGUAACCACCAACACAUACGCUUCAAUUUAAUACAGCAUUUGAAGAACAAACAGUUGACGGAGUAUGUCAGAAGGCUAAGCAAAUAACCCGAAAAAUAAUUGAAUUCAUCGGGACGAGAUGAGCAGCCUUUCUCAGCGGUGGAAGUCACCGGGUUCACUUACCUGGAAGUCCUGCUAGACCUCCACCAAGGGUGUACCCCGCCUCUCGCCCGAAGUCAGCUGGGAUAGGCUCCAGCAUACCCCCGCGACCCUAAUUAGGAUAAGCGGCGUAGAAAACGGAUGGAUGGAUGGAUGUUCUGACUUCAAAUGAGGCGGUGCUUAUGGCGACACACACCACCAGAGGAGACGAGGCAGGAGGAGAAAGGUGACAAACAAGGAGGCAGAAGGUGAAAAAGGAAAAAGCUAGGCUAGAAGGAUGCAGGAAACAUGACCAGUGUAAUAAAUCAUCCAAAGGAUUGUUUUAAAAAUAAACAUUGCAUAAAACAUCGGACAAACAACAAAGAGUCACUGUUUUGUUUUUUGCUCCUGACAGGGUUAGGGUUCGACACCUCAGAGGUUACCACUAGAGGUCAGAGUGACCUUGACGCCAAACUUUAUUAAGAUGGAAACAAAAACGUCAAAGUCAUUGUUUGUUGUGCUUUUGUUCGCAUGAUUGUAGCUGAGGCUAGCUUUGGUGGCGUCUCUUAUAAGCUAGCCUCCUCUGCUGCCCCCUAGUGGAGGAAUGUCAAAGCCCUGUAUGGCCCAUGUUGGGUCGGGGUCAGGAAGGCUGUGAAGCUGCUUGGUUGGGUUUGUGUUGUCGUCGCUGUGUGGACAAGAGCCACAAAGACUGCAUGAUGUGCUUUCUUCUGAUGCAGCAUCAUCAGGAUCCGGGUUCUUCAUUAUUGUAGGUGCUGAUGAGUCAUCAGGUCCUUCUUUGGUGGACAGCCGAUUGCCCAGAACCAAGACCGUA